rnacentral:tRNA from 1 species
GGGAUUGUGGCUCGGUGGCAGAGCACUUGCCUUGUAUGUAAGAGACUUUGGGUUCAAUCCUCAGCACCA